rnacentral:lncRNA from 1 species
GCCAGCAGUUCCCGGUGCAUCCUUCGCCUGGGCCCCCAAAGCCGCGGGUGUGGGCUGACUCUCCCCAAGGCUUUGGGAUGCGCCCACACCUUCAGGCGGCUGAGCUGGCCUUGCUCCCAGAGGCUUCCUUCUGGGCAUUUCCAGGUGGGCAUCAGCCUCGGCAGCCUGGACCCCACCCCGAGGCCUUCCCCUGCUUCUCAGGGACCCCACGGCCUGGACCUUGGUGGUCUCAGGCUGUUAGCCCACAGCAGCCCCCUGCUCUGGACAGCCUCAGAUCUGAGGAGGUGGCCAGCCCUGGACUGGCCAUGUUGGCUACCCAUCUUCUCUCCCCACUGUCACAGAGCUUGGUUGCAGCGUGACAUGAGCUGCUGCUCCCCCACUCUCUCCCUGGGGCCGUCUCCCCACCCUCCUCCCGUGGCCUUCAUGGAGCAGAGCGAGGCCAUUACCCACGCUUUACUUCAUAUUCAUGCAGCUCAGGAGGUGCAGCCCAGCAAACUCAACACAUUUGCUGUGUGACCUUGAGGGGGUCACAUCACCCCUCUGAGCCUGGAUUCCCAGCUGUCAGCUCAUUUGCAAGACACAAAAGCCCAGUGUGUGCCUAUCAGCAUGGAGUCUGACGCACCCCAUUUUGAAUCCCAGCUCUUUCCAAUGCUUGUUUCGGGGCUUCACCUCCCCAGUCUGUGGCGCCCCAUAAAACAGUGGUUCCAAGAACAUCUCCUGCAGAAAGCACCCACUGGCUGAGUGAGGGUCAGUGCCCACACCCUGGACGUCUUCCACUCUGCCUCAUGCACCCCAGUGGACACUGCGUCACAAGGUUGGCAGGGGUUUGCG